rnacentral:rRNA from 1 species
UCCAGAGGGUGCAAGCGUUGUUCGGAAUUAUUGGGCGUAAAGGGCGCGUAGGCGGUGCGGUAAGUCACCUGUGAAAUCCCCGGGCUUAACCUGGGAACUGCAUUCGGGACUGCAUUGCUAGAGUAUGGGAGAGGGAAGUGGAAUUUCAGGUGUAGCGGUGAAAUGCGUAGAUAUCUGAAGGAACAUCAGUGGCGAAAGCGACUUCCUGGGCCAAUACUGACGCUCAUGUGCGAAAGCGUGGGGAGCAAACAGG